rnacentral:ncRNA from 3 species
GACCUCGGAUCAGGUAGGGAUACCCGCUG